rnacentral:rRNA from 1 species
CUACGGGUGGCAGCAGUGGGGAAUAUUGGACAAUGGGCGAAAGCCUGAUCCAGCCAUGCCGCGUGUGUGAAGAAGGCCUUCGGGUUGUAAAGCACUUUCAGUGGGGAAGAAAGCCUUGGGGCUAAUACCCUCGAGGAAGGACAUCACCCACAGAAGAAGCACCGGCUAACUCCGUGCCAGCAGCCGCGGUAAUACGGAGGGUGCGAGCGUUAAUCGGAAUUACUGGGCGUAAAGCGCGCGUAGGCGGUCUGAUAAGCCGGUUGUGAAAGCCCCGGGCUCAACCUGGGAACGGCAUCCGGAACUGUCAGGCUAGAGUGCAGGAGAGGAAGGUAGAAUUCCCGGUGUAGCAGUGAAAUGCGUAGAGAUCGGGAGGAAUACCAGUGGCGAAGGCGGCCUUCUGGACUGACACUGACGCUGAGGUGCGAAAGCGUGGGUAGCAAACAGGAUUAGAUACCCUGGUAGUC